rnacentral:rRNA from 1 species
AACGAACGCUGGCGGCAGGCUUAACACAUGCAAGUCGAACGCCCCGCAAGGGGAGUGGCAGACGGGUGAGUAACGCGUGGGAAUCUACCGUGCCCUGCGGAAUAGCUCCGGGAAACUGGAAUUAAUACCGCAUACGCCCUACGGGGGAAAGAUUUAUCGGGGUAUGAUGAGCCCGCGUUGGAUUAGCUAGUUGGUGGGGUAAAGGCCUACCAAGGCGACGAUCCAUAGCUGGUCUGAGAGGAUGAUCAGCCACAUUGGGACUGAGACACGGCCCAAACUCCUACGGGAGGCAGCAGUGGGGAAUAUUGGACAAUGGGCGCAAGCCUGAUCCAGCCAUGCCGCGUGAGUGAUGAAGGCCUUCGGGUUGUAAAGCUCUUUUGGCGGGGACGAUGAUGACGGUACCCGCAGAAUAAGCCCCGGCAAACUUCGUGCCAGCCGCCGCCGUAA